AACAGGAUUAGAUACCCUGGUAGUCCACGCCGUAAACGAUGAUAACUAGCUGUCCGGGCUCUUAGAGCUUGGGUGGCGCAGCUAACGCAUUAAGUUAUCCGCCCGGGGAGUACGGCCGCAAGGUUAAAACUCAAAUGAAUUGACGGGGGCCUGCACAAGCGGUGGAGCAUGUGGUUUAAUUCGAAGCAACGCGCAGAACCUUACCAGCGUUUGACAUGUCCGGACGAUUUCCAGAGAUGGAUCUCUUCCCUUCGGGGACUGGAACACAGGUGCUGCAUGGCUGU
rnacentral:rRNA from 1 species